rnacentral:lncRNA from 1 species
CGAACCGCCGCACUGCCGCACACCAAAAGUUAAAAGCACAGGAAGAUGAGUGGGAGAGUUGGAAUUUUGGAAAAUGGAACUUGGAACGUGGGGGUGAGAAGAUUCAGAUAAGGGGAGGUGGAGAGCCGUGGGAGAGAUGGGACUGCCUUGAAAGGGAAAGUAAAAUCCGAAUGAAGUGGAAAGUUAAAUGUUAGGGUUAUUUAAUAAAUAGGGUUAAAAAAAUAAAAAAAAAUAAUAAGAAAAGGUUAUUUUGGUGAUUAAAGAAAAAAAAAAAUAGGAGGUGUAGGUUUGAAAUGGGGAGGUGGAGAGAUCAAUGCCUUUUUCCUUAUCAUCUCAAUUUCAAGGCCCAAGUUUCUGUGUUCUCACAAAAAUAUAAAAAAAAAAACACUCUUUGUUUGUCGUUCCUUCCUGUACCUAUUAUUUCCUCUACUUUUAUUGUUGGUUAGAGUUACUUUAAGAAAAAAAAUUAAAUAAUUUUUUUAGAAAAUAUUUACAUCAUUUUCUAUUUUAUAUUUCUCAUCUUUACAUUAUAAUUAAUGUAUAUAUGUAAAUUAAUUGAAAAUUAGGUAAAAGUUA